UCCUGAUAAUUUUCACUCUCUUAUCUUGCUCUUUUAGGGCAUCACGUAUGACCACCUCGAGCUGAACUUUUAUCUUAACGGAACAGAUUUACAUGUCCCUGUGACAGGUGUCAAAGGAGAAGUUUUUCCUGUUCUUUACGUUGAUGACGGAGCCAUCUUGGAUGCGGUGUUCUCUUCUUUCUUCCACACUCCACCCUUGGGCUUCGAGCAAAUCAUGGUGGAACAGUCUUUACUGUGAAAAACUCAUCUGUGUGCAGACCAUCACUGGCACCUCGUAGUGCACUCGUGUUAGUGUUGCUCCGCGGAGCGAACCUGCUGCCAUCUACGCCCGAGUGUGCAAAGUUCUCUGCCACUGAGCUGUCAUCACAAAGUCACUCUAUAGCCCAGCUCAUUCUUCAAUGCUUGCUAAAGCAUAUCACGUUUCAUGUGACAUACUUGCAGUCUUCUUUUUCUUUGCUGCCCAACUUAAAUAAGGGAUAGUAAAAGGCAUGCAUGUUGCAUGGAUAUAGGUAUAAGGCAAGCUAUGUGCUGAGCAUAUGAAAGUGUCAUGCAUGAUAAAAAAAGCAGCAAUUAGGUCAAAUAACUUAUGUGUAAAAGCAGAGAAUUCAUGUUGUACAUUCCCUCUCGAUUAUUACUGCUUGCUUAAGCCAGACGUUGCUUUCAAGGCUGUGUUGGAGGGCAAAGAGCAUGAAAAGCUUUCUUUUUGAUUGCAGCUGGCAUUCUUUCAGCUUGUACAGAGGCUGUUGGCUUUGUUUUGGGCAAUCCUAAUUUCGCCAGACAAUAGACAUUUCUCCAAUUAUUUAACCAGCUUUCAAAAGCAAUAUAUUCGCUGAAUUUUUGGAAAGAUGAGGAAUUUUCUUAUUGGCAAUGUGUAUGCAUGUACUGUUAAGAGGAAGCAUCACCGUGGGCACAAACAAAGGUUGUUAUAUAUGUGCCAUUGACCAGCUUCCAGCGCUUCUACGUUUUGUCCUUUGCCAUCCGACCACUACACGUCGUCUUCUGUUGAGCAUCUUCAGCAUGAAGUGUUUGCUCUGAAAAAGACAUUCACGAGUGCUGCAUUAUGCCACAGCUUACGUAACAUGCUACCUCUUAAAUUAAGGUUUUGUUAGUUGCUUUAUGGUUGAUCACAUUCAACCUCUUGCUGAGCUCGCCACAUCUGGGCCAAACACAUGGUCUGUCAACAGUUCUCGUGGAAGGAGACCUUUGGGGCACAUUAUCAUUAUUGCUUGCCAAGAAUAGUCUCACAAUUUGCUAGUAGCUGAUGCUGCAGCACUAAAUGCAGUUUGACAGGCCCACCAUUGGUGCCAAUCAGGUCUGUGUUCUCCACAAUCAAUUUUGCUUUAUAUGCUGCCCAUGUGGUGGUGCCUGCGGUAGCCUUGUUCUUUGUCAUAAAUGGCUGAUAAACCAUUUUGACUAGCACUACCCAUAACAGCAGAUCAAGCAUUACAUUUUUUUAGGUAGAGGAGGUGUGGCUUCUGCGACAACAUAUGCCACUGGAAACUGGUGAUGAGUAGUAGUUUAAUCUUUAAGCAGCGACUAAUGUCAGCAUUAGCUUACAAGAAUGCAAUGUGGUGAGUCUGUUGCUUGUAUAGGUGCAGGAGAACUUUCUGUACAUUGCUUGUAACAUAAUACAAUAAUUUAUACUAACAUGUGAACUGUGCCCAGGUAUCCUUAGUGGAUGCUUGGCUCUAGACAAGACUGGCGAUGUAAACGGAACGUGCGUACUGUUUGUGGUUGUUGCCAUUACUUACACACGCAAAAGUGCAACAAUGAUGUCCAUGUAUGCUGACUAGAGCCUUUAGUGUAUACAGGAUGCUUUUAGGAAGGUUUUUUUCAGUGCAGAUGAUACCGAAUAGGGGCUGGCACUAAUUUUGCGUUCAUUGCAUACUCAAUAUUACGAUAAGGGCAACAGGUACUUGAACACCUCAUCCGGCUGAACUGAUGGGCUGGCUUGUGCUCGCAAUGGUGGUAUUUUGUUUAACAGUCCACAUUUGGAUGCAAGAAUUGCACAUUUCAUCAAACUACAGAUGCACGUGUCUGCGGUAAUGCGAGGCCGCAAAACAGUGCGAAAGCUUCAUAAAACUUGGCAAUGCUUAAUUCUUUAUCGAGCACCACUGCCAAUGAUACACACUUAGUUAUUCUGGAAAGGACGUGUGCCGAAUAUAAAUGUGUUGUUGUCCAAAAUGCACAAAUGAGUUAGUGGUAUAGCUGAAAAAACCAUAUCUGCCGGCCUCCCUUACUGACACAUCAUUUUGCAUCUUGCACGCUUCUCUCUAUACAACAGAAGAGCUUUGCUAGGUGGAAUAAGAUACAGCAGUCGGUCUUCAAAGCAAGCACGCGUGCAAACAUGCAUGGCAGCAUUAGCCUCGAGUGAUUGCAUUGUUGAAAGCACAAAGCCUUUUUUCAAACAAUAAAAUGGUCAUUCUGUCAGCAGCUAUGCAGUGUCCAGUCCCAUUUUCAUGGUCGUGGCAAUAGCACAGGCUUCUUGUGGAC